rnacentral:sRNA from 1 species
GACAGGUGUGGUAGCCCAUAUCUGUAAUCCCAGCUACUUGGGAGGCUGAGGCAAGAGGAUCACAAGUUCAAGGCCAGCUUCAGCAACUUAGUGAGCCCCUGUCUCCA